rnacentral:miRNA from 1 species
GCCUCUAAUCAAUUCCAAUU